UAGGGAAUCUUCGGCAAUGGACGAAAGUCUGACCGAGCAACGCCGCGUGAGUGAAGAAGGUUUUCGGAUCGUAAAACUCUGUUGUUAGAGAAGAACAAGGACGUUAGUAACUGAACGUCCCCUGACGGUAUCUAACCAGAAAGCCACGGCUAACUACGUGCCAGCAGCCGCGGUAAUACGUAGGUGGCAAGCGUUGUCCGGCUUUAUUGGGCGUAAAGCGAGCGCAGGCGGUUUCUUAAGUCUGAUGUGAAAGCCCCCGGCUCAACCGGGGAGGGUCAUUGGAAACUGGGAGACUUGAGUGCAGAAGAGGAGAGUGGAAUUGCAUGUGUGGCGGUGAGAUGCGUAGAUAUAUGGAGGAACACCAGUGGCGAAGGCGGCUCUCUGGUCUGUAACUGACGCUGAGGCUCGAAGGCGUGGGGAGCAAACAGG
rnacentral:rRNA from 1 species